GAUGAACGCUAGCGGCGUGCCUAACACAUGCAAGUCGAACGUGAAGCCGAUUUCGGUUGGUGGAAAGUGGCGGACGGGUGAGUAAUACGUAGGUGACCUGCCUUGGAGUGGGGGAUAACCAUUAGAAAUGAUGGCUAAUACCGCAUGGUUUUGCUGGAAUGGGAAUUUUUGGCAAAUAAAGUUCAGGCGCUCUGAGAGGGGCCUACGUCCGAUUAGUUAGUUGGUGGGGUAAAAGCCUACCAAGGCGAUGAUCGGUAGCUGGUCUGAGAGGACGAUCAGCCACACGGGAACUGAGACACGGUCCCGACUCCUACGGGGGGCAGCAGUGAGGAAUAUUCGGCAAUGGGGGCAACCCUGACCGAGCAACGCCGCGUGGAGGAUGACGGUUUUUGGAUUGUAAACUCCUUUUCUGUGGGAAGAGUAAGGACGGUACCACAGGAAUAAGUCACGGCUAACUACGUGCCAGCAGCCGCGGU
rnacentral:rRNA from 1 species